CAGGUGGAAGGUGGUGUGAAGCUAGCCUGGCCCUCAGUGUAUUAGAUCCUUUUUGUGGUUGGUGCUCCAUGGUAGGCUUUAAACGAACCAAGAAAGAAGGUGUCACUAUUUAGUAGGGUCACUAAAUUGUGGGUUAUGUGUUGAGGGGGUUGAGAAAUCAAUUCUGCCUGUAUUGAGAAAUUGCUAUGGGGCGAAGGAAAUUUGAGAUGUAUUUGUCCUAGAAAUGAUUGGGCAACGUUGAUAGAAGGGCCUAAUUUUGUUGAAGAAUAAGAAUCUUGAUUGUUCA
rnacentral:misc_RNA from 1 species